AGACAUGAAGGUGUUUGUCUGCAUAGUGGCAUUGACUGCCUUAAACUUCACUAAAGCGGGAAUCCUUCUCGGAGGAAGUGAAGAGCACGGAAGUGAUGGAUUUGGCGAUGAUUUAGGAGGCCAUGGAGACGGUGGGCUUGGAGGUCACGGAAGUGGGGGAUUUGGAGGUAGCUCAGGAGGCCAUGGAAGUGGAGGACUUGGGGGCCACGGAGGUGGUGGAUUUGGAGGCGGCUUAGGAGGUCAUG